ACCCUAAUGGCAAAAUUGGUAUCGCAUCCACUGCACUUGCCGAGUAUUAAUUUAUGCCUAUGUGGAAGGCCCUCGUUCGAAUCGAGGUUAGGUCA